rnacentral:rRNA from 1 species
UACUACAGCCAUGCCACCCUGAACAAGCCCAAUCCUGUCUGAUCUCAGAAGCUAAGCAGGGUUGGGCCUUGGUUAGAACUUGGAUGAGAGACCACCUAGGAAGUCCAGAUGCUGUAGGUG